GUGGCUGCUGGAGGGAGCCCCCUUAACCUGGCUGUUUGAAGCAAGGGUGAUGGACCCAGCCGGCUUGACUUGCCCAAGGCCACACUGAAGCCCAGGGAUUUGGGAGCUGAGGUGGCUCAGUUUCAUGGGCCGCCAGGGUACCCGCAAAUGAAGGCCAUCGGAGGGGAUGGCAAGCACAGCCUCCGCCCAGGGUUUCAGGUGCUGCUGAGGGACUGAGUUGGGUUAUUUUUACUACAAAAGAAAGUUACUUAGUUUUAUAAAGACAAAUUUAUUGUAUCUGAGUGAUAUGGUAUUUAAUAAAAGUCUGAAG